rnacentral:tRNA from 1 species
GUAGAGGCGGGACUAACCCCGCAUAAGCAGGGCUACAACCUGCCACCUGUUUCGGCCACCCUACCUG